GGGGAACUUAAUCAAGAAACAUGAUCCCCGCAGCUACCGGGUUAAGACCUUGGAGCCACCACGGAAUAUGAGAUUACUUUAUGUGGAGGUGGUUUGCUGUGCCCUGAGUGAGAAGAAGGGCAGGAGGAGGAAGGAAAAGGUCACUAUGUCGGCUGAGGAGAUGGAGGGAGAGAGGACCGAGGAAUGCAAAGUAUCAGAGGUUAAUGAUUCUAAGAAGACCGUACGCAGAGCUACUGUCUUGGCGGUGACGAGGCGGAGGAGGAGGAAGGAGGAGGUCACUAUUUCGGCCGAGGAGAUGGAGGGAGAAAGGACCGAGGAAUGCGAAGUGUCUGAGGUUAAUGAUUCUAAGGAGACCAUAGAGCUGCUGUACGUCUUGGCGGUGAGGAGGCGGAGGAGGAGGAAGGAGGAGGUCACUAUUUCGGCCGAGGAGAUGGAGGGAGAAAGGACCGAGGAAUGCAAAGUAUCAGAGGUUAAUGAUUCUAAGAAGACCGUACGCAGAGCUACUGUCUUGGCGGUGACGAGGAGGAGGAAGGAGGAGGUCACUAUUUCGGUUGAGGAGAUGGAGGGAGAGAGGACCGAGGAAUGCAAAGUAUCAGAGGUUAAUGAUUCUAAGAAGACCGUACGCAGAGCUACUGUCUUGGCGGUGAGGAGGAGGAGGAGGAGGAAGGAGGAGGUCACUAUUUCGGCUGAGGAGAUGGAGGGAGAGAGGACCGAGGUAUGCGAAGUGUCUGAGGUUAAUAAUUCUAAGACCGUGGAGUUACUGUCUUGGCGGUGAGGCGGAGGAGGAGGAGGAAGAGGAAAAAGAGGCCGGGAUAGGUGAAGGACCCCGACUGAGCAGAUGAAAGAAGGGAGAAAGAGGAACAAUGAGUACAUAGACU